rnacentral:rRNA from 1 species
CAAUAGCGUAUAUUAAAGUUGUUGCAGUUAAAAAGCUCGUAGUUGAACCUUGGGCUUGGCUGGCCGGUCCAUCUUUUUUGAUGCGUACUGGACCCAGCCGAGCCUUUCCUUCUGGCUAGCCUUUUGGCGAACCAGGACUUUACUUUGAAAAAAUUAGAGUGUUCAAAGCAGGCCUUUGCUCGAAUAUAUUAGCAUGGAAUAAUAGAAUAGGACGUUAUGGUUCUAUUUUGUUGGUUUCUAGGACCAUCGUAAUGAUUAAUAGGGACGGUCGGGGGUAUCAGUAUUCAGUUGUCAGAGGUGAAAUUCUUGGAUUUACUGAAGACUAACUACUGCGAAAGCAUUUACCAAGGACGUUUUCAUUAA